rnacentral:tRNA from 1 species
GCCGGGGUGGCUCAGUCGGUUGAGCGUCCGACUUCGGCUCAGGUCAUGAUCUCGCGGUCCGUGGGUUCGAGCCCCACAUUGGGCC